GAAGGAUCCACACAGGUCUUUAGACUGCAGGUUUACACACGAGCAAGGUUUACCCAGUUUACAUGCAUUUAAGUUUACUUGGUUUACUCACAAGUAAGGACACGGCAGUGGAGGACAUUGGUGGCAUGAAGGGGAAAUGUUGAGGGCAAGAUUGGGGAGGUGGAAGGCAGGUAACCUUCCCUUUUCCGCAUCUUUCUCCUUGGGGCUCUUGUACUGCCUUGUAAGGUGGAGCCCUUGGAGUCCAUUUGGGUACAUAAUAACCAUCCGCAUAAGCCAGACAACAGGAUAAUCAGAAGUGCAUGAAUCAUUAAAAACAAAGCAAAACAGAAGCCCCUAAUGCUGUGCCAUAAAGGAGCAAGAUGGCUCUUAAUGGGGCAGGACAGAUCAAUCUAAGUAGAAACAUGUGUGGAUGGUGUAAUUUUGUUUGAACCAAACCUUACCAACAGCAAUUCAAACAGCAAUCUAUAUACUGUACCUGUCUCAAUAAUACCAUAGAUUAAGUGUUGCCAGAAACCAUAAUCUCAACGAAUCAUUGCUUUUCAGUUCUAAGUGUCCCACUUCCCAAGUGGCCAGAGAUACAUACUAGUUGAUGAGGUGGUUGAACCAUGAUUCUGGGACAGGAAGCUGGGUACAAAAGAUGGCUUCUAACUGACACAGCCCUAAAACUGUUCCUUUCUGCAGCAACUUGAAUCAGGUCUAAUGAUAUGCCACGCCUCCCUCUCCCCGAUAGUUGUUCCAAUACUCAUAAUCAACAGCAUUUUGCAAGCUUUAUUAACAAAAGUGUGGGUGAGUGUAUACAUUCUGCAGAUAGGAUUUAUGUCCAUGAGUUACAGAGCAGCUGGGGUGACAUGUUGAGUUAUAAAGAUUUCCAAAGAUGCUUUAAUUUACUAGGAAUUCCACUUGUCCUUCAUGGAAGGAUGAACGUCAACACAGGUGGCCUGGGAGAGGGAGCUAUGGGUCAGUUUCUGGGUGUGAAUUGAAUUCUUGCUGGUUCUUACCAGGCUGCAGAGAAGCUAUAAAUGGAUCUCCUGAUUUAGAACUUGAUUUAAAUAGACCACCAUUUGCACCUGUACCACUUGGCAUCAUAUCAGUGUAGACAUGCUUGGGUAAGCUUGUGUAAGACACAUAAUUCUUCUCUACUCAGAUUUAUAUUAGUUUUCCCCAUCCAUAUAUAUAUAUAUAUAUAUAUGAGACUCUUAUAGUCAUACAAUGCAUAUAUAUAUAAAUUUAUAGCCUGAGUCAUAAACUAGUUAAGCUCAUGACUUAGAUUUAUAUGCAGGGCAGUACACUGGAUACCAUCCAAUUCAGCUGAACUGUUUAGCAGAUGGGGCUGUCCAUUAUUCAUCAUCACAUGUAGGAGUGAAGAGGCAGUCCCUCUGUAAUCACUACAAUACACAUUCCCGACUGCUGUGGCCAGGUUCCCCUUGCCUUUUCGUCUACAUGUAAAGCGUAGAGGUAAAGUUUUUGAUCUCUGCCCAGUUCAUACCAUAUACCUUUGUCACCUAUUUCCUUCAGUGGGAUAGAGCAGGCAGUAAAGAAAAUGUGAUCCUCUAGAUCAGUGGUGUCGAACUGUGGCCCUCCAGAUGUCCUUGGACUUUAACUCCCAGAAGCCUCUACCACCACCUCUGCUGGCCAGGAUUUCUGGGAGUUGAAGGCCAAGAACAUCUGGAGGGCCACAGUUCGACACCACUGCUCUAGAUGUUGUCAGACUAUAGUUUCCCUCAUGCUUUAUCUUUGUUUAUGCUGGCUGGGGCCAGUAUGAGCUGGAAUCCUAUAAUGUGCCACCUUGCUGAGGCAGCUUCAUGAAGCCAGGGGAUGAUCAUGUGGAAAAAGAAUUCAGUGCCCCAAUGGUCAGUGCUUUUCCAGAAGGAGCACAGUUGACAGGAAAGUAUGAGAAGACUGAAGUAGAUGUGAGGUUCCUUUGUCCCAGGAAGAGGCACAGGUUGAAAAGAUGAGAGCAAAAAUAAGCACAUCAUUUUAAGGCUCUCCGAGUGCUUAGUGAAAACAGCUAUACACCAGGGAAAGGUUAACUAGGAGUUACAAUUUCUGUGUGUUCUACCAAGGAAGCCACUGUGGGGAACAACAUGGGGGUUCACUUCUUUAUUACCAUUCUGUGCUGCCUGAUCAGAUUUCCAGAACUUUGAUGAACAAACUCCAGAAAAUGUCACCUCCACCUGCUCUCUGUUUCAAUAUACAGCCCCAAUGCUUGUGGCCUGGCAUGAAACCACAGCAUCUGAGGGUCGGUGGGUCACAUGUUCUACACUCUGAACUAGUGGAGGGAAAAUCCUUUUUACUGGCAUUGAGAAUGAGAACAGCAAUAUAGCAGAUGAGCUCAAUUUUUUCCUCUCAGGCACUUAUCUUACAUACCCCCUUUGUGACAUAUUUGCCGCUUUGAAACUGCACUCUUUAGCACUAUGAAAUUAUCCUGUUACCAUGUGGGCAGCCUGAAUUGCAUGGGUACUCCCCUUGCUAGUGUCCUUCCAUCCCAGCUGCUAGUGCCAGCGUAGAUUGUGCCCUUUCUAUCUUGGCUACCCAUGUGAUGCAGAAUAUUUGUAUGUGAACAAGUACUUUGUGGGAUCCAUGCACAGGAAAUAAUAAGUGACUGCAGUGCUGCAAAGGCAAGAUAUGAAUGGGUCUCCACUUAGAAGGAAAGAAAUGAGAGAAUUGUGGUAAAAGUGGCACAUAGGUUGGACUGAAGACACAGCAUCCUCGUCAUCCAUACGCAUGACCUACCAACACUUCAGAGUAAAGAAAAACUCAUAUUUUUUUUGGACAGUAAUUCAAAGAAAUCCCCAACUGGCAUGUCUGUGCUGACAGAGCAUUCUAGGACUUGUGGCUCAAAUAAGCCAUUUUUUUCCAAGCUCUGGUAGUCAAUUGGAAACUAGUCACAAGUGCCACUCUCUUGGCUAUAUAAAUAAGCAACCUGUUCUUAAAACAGGAACUGGCACAGAAACCUGGUCCCCAAAUAAGUCUUGUCUUGCAUUUUUAACAAAUAAGUGCAGCUUUGUGUUGACUGCUAGAUUGUUAUUGCUUCUGCUACAGUGACUCAACCGGAGCGUGCACCAGUCUUAAUAAAUGGCUGAGAGUGUUUGCCCUGAGCA
ensembl:lncRNA